UUUUAACAAGAGACAUACUGAGAGGAAUCAAAAGACUUCAUAUUCAAUAACUGUUCAAGGAGUUGUUGAUACAAAUGGUGUUUUCACUGAUGUUUGCAUUGGUUGGCCUGGUUCAAUGCCUGAUGAUCAAGUGUUAGAAAAAUCAGCACUUUUUCAAAGGGCUAAUAAUGGAGGACUUCUUAAAGGUGUUUGGAUUGUUGGAAGUUCAGGGUAUCCUUUAAUGGAUUGGGUUUUAGUACCUUAUACUCAACAAAAUCUUACUUGGACACAACAUGGUUUCAAUGAGAAGAUUGGUGAGAUACAAAAAGUUGCUAAAGAUGCAUUUGCUAGAUUGAAAGGUAGGUGGUCUUGUUUGCAGAAAAGGACUGAAGUGAAGCUACAAGAUUUGCCUGUUGUACUUGGUGCUUGUUGUGUUUUGCAUAACAUUUGUGAGAUGAAAGGUGAGAAAAUGGAUCCUGAACUUAUGGUUGAUAUUGUUGAUGAUGAAAUGGUUCCUGAAGUUAGUUUGAGAUCAGUUAAUUCAUUGAAGGCUAGAGAUGCUAUUGCUCAUAAUCUUUUGCAUCAUGGUUUAGCAGGCACUUCUUUUCUUUAAACUCAUAAGAUUAAGAACUUUGUGUAAUUUGUUGUAUUUUGAUCAUUGUUUUAUGCAUCUCUGAGAACAUGAUUUUCUUUUUUGCUGUUUAUUUACAUAAUGUUGGAGUUAUAUUCAUAUUAUUUGUUGAAGUGGCUUUGUAUAAGAUAAGAUGUAUUAGCCUCUUUGACAAAUAUGUAUGAUAAAAUUUACAUAUGGUUAGAUUCAGAGUUACAUUUCCAUAGCCAAAUAAGAGAUCAAUUAAUAAAAUUGCAACAUUCUUUUGUUUCAUGGAUUAUUUUGUAUCAUUCCUAGUUUACAAUUUAUUAGAAGAUCAAUUGAUAUAGUUCAGUUACAUCAUUGUUUUAAACCAAAUUUAUUGUUAGAUAGGAUUCUGUUACAAGAUAGUGAAUUUGAAAUAUAGUAAAAUGCACUAUUUAUUAAAUCAAAAUAAAAUCAUCUCAUAAUUGAUUUCCUUUCCUAUGUAAUUAAAGUCAACUGUGUUCAAAUACCGACUAGGAUCUAGACAUGGUGAACAUGUGAAGUCUAAGAAAAUGGUUUUUUAGACUGUGAGAAAAUGAUAAAAUAACAGUUUUUGGUUAAAUCAAAUGAAUGGGUCAUAAUCAUUCUUUUUGACACUCUACUUCUGUUUAUUCAAUAUCUAGUAAUGGUUAUGCUUGUGUUUCAUAGUUGUACUCAAUCAAACAUUGUAAAGACUGAAAAUUUUAAAUCAAAAGUUUACUCGAUUAAAGUCUUUCGCAUCAUAAAUAAAUCGAAGUAUAAAGUCUUGAAAAUGAACGAGAAUUGAAAUACAAUUCAGCAUCCUUUUACAAAAAAGGAAAAGUUAAACAUACAAAUGAGGAACCCUAAUUCUAGACACUAUGAUCCGUCUUCGAGUGACUUCAAAACAUCCUAUACCUGAAAAGGAAUCACAUAGUGUGAUGAGAUACUACGAUCUCAAUAAGUUUCCAAAUACGGGAUUAAACAAAAUAUGCCACAAAUGCAUUUAUGAAAUAUAUUAUAAAAUGCAAUACUUUCACUUCAUUAUGAAACUACCCCUGAUGUGCAUCAGAACUUUAAUUCUUAUCAAAUCAUUCGAAAACUUUAACUAACUAACGUGAGCACACUUAUCUGUGUCUGCAAAAUCACUUGGACAUGGGUUAACCAAUGUGACAUGUACUGCCGAUGUAUGACGCCCCACUACCUGCCUACACUGUAACUGCCGCGCUUCAUCUUUUUCUCCAUUGUGAUGUGUCUAGUGCGGUUUGGUUGAAGUUAAUGUGGUGGUUAGAUUGCUUGUUCAUUUUGCCUCCAAACCUUUUUGUUCAUUGGGAGUGUUGGCAUGAAGGGGAGAGCGACAAGAAGGUCAAAAAGGGUAAGGGGAUAAUUUGGCUUGCUACCAUUUGGGUGUUAUGGAAUACCCGAAAUGAGAAAGUUUUUAACGAUGUUAAUGUAGAGGUGGAUGCAAUUGUUGAAGAGGUGAAAGUGUUGGCUUGGAAGUGGGUGAUGAGUAAGUUGUGUAUUCCGGUUUGUCAAUUUUUUGAGUAGUGUUGGAACCCUAAAUGGUGUCUUAGAAGGUCCCAUACUUGUAUGUGAUUGUUGGUUGCGGAGCUGCUGAUUUUGCUUUCGGUCUGGAGCUUGGUUUUCAGCUGGGUUUUUUGGGUUGUGUAGCAGGUUUUGGUGUUUGUAUCAGCAGAAGUGCAGCAGUUUUUUUCUGCUAUUGCUUGCGUUGCUGAGAUAGGUGCUGCUUCCAUAUGUUGGAGUGUUUCUGUUUUGAUUGGUGGCUGGGCAGUUUCGGGCUUUUUGGUGCUUCUCUGUCUUCUGGUGGUGAGGUAGGGGUAUGCGUGCGGUGUUUUUCGCACGUAUAUGUCGGCCUCAAUUCUGGUUUGAGGGUUGUAUGGGUGUUCCGUAUAUUUGCAUGUCAUGUUUGAUCAAGAAAGUGGAAAAAGAUGUUUUUUCCCUUUCUCUUAUUUGUGUUUGUUGAUCGUAUUAUUUAGUUUUUGAGAUAUAAGAAGGAAUAAAAUGUUGACCAUCGUCAGUGACAAGAUCUAAAUUUUUUGAAUGGUGGGACACCAUAUAUAAAAAUUUGUAACACUAAAUUAUCCUCUAAGAUUUUUCAUAUUAUGAAAACUUUGAAUGAUAUGGUCCCCGACUAUCGUAAUACACGUAUUAUAUGGUGGUGAGUUUACUUUAGAACCAAAAGUUGUAACUCUUUAUAGGAACCAUUCAUAUACAUUAGAACAUUAUUAUUUACUAAUAGAUAAUGAACCAUAGCAUUGAUUCAAGUGUAUCUGAUCACAACCUUUGGUAAAUUGAUGCUUAAUGAACCAUAAUAUUGAUUCAAGUAAAAAAUCUUAUGUAUAUGAUCAUAACCUUUGGCAAAAGGGUGUUUUCUCUCAUGUGAAGAGUCACAUAAUGCACUAUAAAUACUUGACAUUUGGGCCUGAGUUUAAAAUCGAAUUUUCUAGUAUUUAUGAAACUUGGGACUUUUGCAGACCCAGAAUCACUUUCAUACGUUUAUACCUUACGUCAAAAUUCAUUUGACCAGAUGAACAAUCCAAACAACACUGCUACUUCAACAAAUAACAGAAAAAGACAUAGAAAAAAUGAUGUUAACAGUGGUAUAUCUAAUGGUGGUGGUUCACAGAGAAGGCUAUGGGUGAAGGAUCGUUCCGGGGCAUGGUGGGAUGAAUGUAAUAAAGAAGAUUUUCCUGAAGAUGAGUUUAAGAAAGCUUUUAGAAUGGGAAAAUCAACUUUUGAUUUUAUUUGUGAAAAAUUGAAUUCAGCAAUUGUGAAAGAAGAUACAACUUUGAGAACUGCAAUUCCAGUGAGACAAAGAGUAGCUGUUUGUCUAUGGAGAUUAGCAACAGGUGAUCCUCUUAGCAUUGUUUCAAAAAGGUUUGGUUUAGGUAUAUCAACUUGUCAUAAACUUGUUCUUGAAGUUUGCACUGCUAUUAAAACUGUUCUUAUGCCUAAGUAUCUUCAAUGGCCUAAUGAAACUUCUUUGAGAAAAAUUAAGAAUGAGUUUGAGGGUAUGUCAGGUAUUCCAAAUGUUGUAGGGUCCAUGUAUACAUCACAUGUUCCAAUCAUAGCUCCUAAGAUUAGUGUUGCUGAUUAUUUUAACAGAAGACAUACUGAGAGGAAUCAAAAGACUUCAUAUUCAAUAACUGUUCAAGGUGUUGUUGAUACAAAUGGUGUUUUCACUGAUGUUUGUAUUGGUUGGCCUGGUUCAAUGCCUGAUGAUCAAGUGUUAGAAAAAUCAGCACUUUUUCAAAGGGCUAAUAAUGGAGGACUUCUCAGAGGUGUUUGGAUUGUUGGUAGUUCAGGGUAUCCUUUAAUGGAUUGGGUUUUAGUACCUUAUACUCAACAAAAUCUUACUUGGACACAACAUGGUUUCAAUGAAAAGAUUGGUGAGAUACAAAAAGUUGCUAAAGAUGCAUUUGCUAGAUUGAAAGGUAGGUGGUCUUGUUUGCAGAAAAGGACUGAAGUGAAGCUUCAAGAUUUGCCUGUUGAACUUUGUGCUUGUUGUGUUUUGCAUAACAUUUGUGAGAUGAAAGGUGAGAAAAUGGAUCCUGAACUUAUGGUUGAUAUUGUUGAUGAUGAAAUGGUUCCUGAAGUUAGUUUGAGAUCAGUUAAUUCAUUGAAGGCUAGAGAUGCUAUUGCUCAUAAUCUUUUGCAUCAUGGUUUAGCAGGCACUUCUUUUCUUUAAACUUAUAAGAUUAAGAACUUUGUGUUAUUUGUUGUAUUUUGAUCAUUGUUAUAUGCAUCUCUGAGAACAUGAUUUUAUUUUUUGCUGUUUGUUUAUUUAUUUACAUAAUGUUGAUGUGGCUUUGUAUAAGAUAAGAUGUAUGGUUAGAUUCAGAGUUGUAACUCAAUUAUAUACACUUUCAUAGCCAAAUAAGAGAUCAAUUAAUAAAAAUUGCAACAUUCUUUUCUUUCAUGUAUUAUUUUGUAUCAUUCAUAGUUUACAAUUUAUCUGAAGAUCAGUUGAUAUAGUUAAGUUACAUCAGUAUUUUAAAAGCACACUUCUUAAUAAUACUUCUUAUCAAGAUAUUUGAUAGUCCAUGCCAAUAAUAAAAUCUAACUUCUGCAAAUGUAUACAUACAAGAUCGUCCUUGAAAUUGAAUAAUUACCACUUAAGUUAGCAAUUGCAAACGCUUCGGCAUCACUCGGGGGGGGGGGGAAGAAUCUUCCACUAUACUGGUCGAAGUACUUUAGGAAUCCUUAGGAGCAAAAUUUCUUGGGUUGGAGACAUGUUGUGCUAUGUCCCUUCUCAGUCGUCACUUGCAUCAUUCCCUCUACCACAUAUGUUACCAGUUACCUGACUCAUAUUUGCACUGUUUCUGCUAUUUACUCCACAACCAUUAAGGUUUCCUCUACCACAAGCAAAACUUGGUUCUUAUUUACCAAAAUCGGAAAAAUCCUAAUUUUAUUUGUUUAUUAAUUCUUUGCUUCGAUCUCAUCUCAAACUUGGUAGUUGGACACUCAUGUCACUUUGCUCCGGCUUCACAAACUCUAGUUCCUUCGGAUUACGAAUGUCUUUUAGGAAAUCAUGUGAUUUCAAUCCUCCUUUUUCCCUCUCUUCAAAAAAUCCUCCUUUUUCCCUCCAAGAGAAAUAAAAUCUCUUAUCUAAAAUUUAAUCAAAACUAAGUAAAACACACCAAAAAUUAUUCAAAUCACAGAUCAAAAUUAGAGACUCCUAAUAUGUGAAGCCCGGAUACAAGAUAUGAUACUGCACCGAUACGUCGAUACGAAAAAAUUUCAAAAAUUAAGAUACGAUACAGCUGAGAGACGUUUAUAUAAUUAAAUGUACAAUAUAAUUAUAACAAUUAAUUUGGUACUUAACCAAUACAUGGGGGCAUUGGUUAAUGUAACGUCCACUUUUGUUUAAUUAAUUAUUCAAUCGAGUUUAGACAAUUAUAUUAUAUUUAUAUAAUAUAUGUGUGAGUUUUGUUGAUUUAUGACGAUUUAGAUGAUUGGACGAUUUUGAUGUGUUUAGAUGAUUUUGUUGAGAUAUGAGACUUAUUUUAUUGUUAAAUAAAAUAAGAUUUGAAAAUAAAAAAAAAAUAUUUAGUUGAGGGCUGUUUUGAGAUUUUAGAGAGUUUUGGGGGAGAAAGUGAGAUAAGAUAAGAUAUUAGGAGGAGAUAUAAAAAGGAAAGACCUAGGUUUAGAAAAUGUUUUGUACGUACGACUGUUUUUGGAGAAAAUGAGAAAAAACCAAGAGAAGAGCAAGAGAGGCUAGGAAGGCUGCGAUUUCUUCACAUUAAGGUAAGGGUGAGACUAAUGAUUCAGUAAUGUUAAUUCGUAUAAUUCUGAUGAUUAAUUAGCAAGAAUUAGGAUUGAAUUGGAGGAACCAAAAACUAGAUCAAAUCCCUAAAAUUGAUUAGAUUGAUGUAGAAACUGUCCCUUGACCUUAGAAUAUGUUUAGAAUGAAUUGUGGAACUGAAAUUAGACUCAGAACCAUGAGAUUAGAUGAAUUUUUUGAAGAAAACUGCAUUCUGCCCGAGCCAACAUUCAUCGCUCGCCACGCGAGCCAAUACCCCUCGCCUCGCGAGUUACAAGUCGUAGCUCGCUACAGCGAGCAACCCUACUCGCCAUAGCGAGCAUGACCAGAGAGCAUGUUGAAUUUCGUGUUUUGGACUUUUGAGUUGAUCCUUAGAUGCUUUUGAGUACCUUUAGUUGUGUAUUAAAGAUUAGAGGAUGAUUUAGAACAAGAUUGAACCUGGAACAACCUUAGUUGGAAAUCUGGCAAGUACUCGCCUCGCGAGCACUUCCAGAACCGAGUGCUUUUGACAAUGUUAUGACCUGAUUUGUUUGGAUUGGCUAGGAAUGGAACUUUAGGUAGUAAUGAAACCUAUUUAAGAUGUUAGCCGGAAUCUGUGAAGUUGUUAAGAACUAUUAAGUUGUUUGUAAUGUGAUUUAACGAUUAAAUGCAUUACUUGAAUUAUUCUUGAAUAAACUAGAUGUUGUUGAAAUGAAUUGUUGUUAUGAAAUUUUGAUGUUGUUGUGAUCUGAUUAUGCUGCUGCUGUUAUUUAACUAAGUUGCAUGAGUCUAUACAUGAUUGAAUAAGAUGUUGUUGAGCUCCAAAUUAUUGGAUGUAUAUUGAGAUGUUGAUUAAGAUUGUUUUAGAUUGAUUGAGUCCAUGCAUUAGCAUACUUUUGUUGGGGGCUCAUGCCCUGGAGCUUUCUCCUCACCACGAAUUGAGCUUUGUCCUCACCACGAUGCCUUAAAAUUAUAUUAAUACUAUGAUGUUGGGGGCUCAUGCCCUGGUUGGUACCACAUGCAUAAAGAGGUUUAGAUUUGCAUUGUCGCAUUUGUCGAGUCAAAAGAUGUUAUGUUAUUGAUGAUGAUUGAAUGAUGUGAUUACUUGAUAAUUGUUUAUCAAAGAUGCACUGAUGCUUAAGAUUGUUUAUGUUGUUAAUAAUGAUUUUGAAUUAUAUUGAUUAAUAUUAUUGUUUUGUGAAAUCUCACUGUAACGCUCUAAUCUUUAUUUUAUUAUUUUUGAUUAUGUGGAGUCUUAUAUUUGAUUUUUGGUGAUUUAUGUGGUGUGUUUAUUUUAUUAUAUAGUUUAUUUAAAUAAUAAAUAGAAUAAGUGAGAAUUAGUAUUUUUUUGGAAUGUGGGGAGUUAAGUAAUAUUUAAUAGAAUUAAGGGGAGUAAUUAAAAUAAAGGGAAGUUAAGAAAGGAGUUAAGAAAGAAAGAAAGAGUCAGAAUACGUUUUCACGUGUAACUGUCAGUUUUGGGAAAAAAGGAGAUAAGAGCAAGGAGAGCCAAAGUUGUCAUUUUCUGUGCUGAUCUUUCUGCAAAACUAAGGUAAGGGUGAGGUUUACCGCAAUUAUAUAGGUUCUGAAUUCUGAUUUUGUUUUUAACAGGUUUAUGUGAGAAUUGGGAGAAGUUAGGUUUUGUAAAAUUAAUGGGUAUUGAGAGUAGGGAUUGUGUUUUUGAUGUUAGAAAUGGGUUAUGAGUGCAUAUAACCUUUCAUUGCAUAUCUGUAAACUGAUUUGGGGAGUGAAUUGGAGGAAAAUGAGAUUUUUGGGAAAAAAACCUGCAUUCUGCCCGUACAGAAGUUCAUCGCUCGCCUCGCGAGUAGCCUUUGCUCGCCAUAGCGAGUGAGCAACUUCAUGGCUCGCCUCGCGAGUUAGACAACUCGCCAUGGCGAGUACCUGUGAGGAAAACUGGAUUUUUGAAGUGUCGUUAUAAGUCGUAUUUUGGGUAGUUUUAUGUACCUAGAUGAUUUUAGAGAGGACUGGUGCAAUUUUUAGAUCAAAAAGAUGAAUAGGGAACUUGGAAAUGAGGAUUUAGUGAGAAAAAUGUCAAAACUCCCGAGAGCAGCCUUUUUCUGUUCGCCUCGAACUCGCCAUGGCGAGUGCCCUUUUUCCUGAACUCGCCAUAGCGAGCAGAUGUGCUCGCGAGGCGAGUUGCCCAAUAUUUGUUGGAUUGAUUUCUGUUGUUGAUGGUUGAUUUAUCUUGUUGAUUAAGCAUGGCUUUUAUGUUGGUGUAUUUUUCUGGAUGUUUUAAAUUGGUUGUAAUGAAUGGAUGUUGGCUGGAUGUAUGCUUUUAUUUAAUUAAGUUAUACAUGAAUAUUGUAAAUUGGAGUGGUGAGUCAUAUACAUAUAUAUGCAUAGGUUGGAUUGUAUGUAGAUAUACUCAAGUGGGUCAGUUGCAUAAGCAUAACAGUGGGAGAGCUUCGGCUCUGGAACGCCUUGUCGUUCAAAGUGGUGGAGCACUAAUUGCUCAAAGUGGUGUUAGUGGUGAGGACUUAUGUCCUGAAAAUGAAUGCUUUAACCAUUCUACAGCGGUGAGGGCUACGGUCCUGAUUUUGGUACCACAUGCAUGGGUGUUGUUAGAGGAGUCUUAGUGGAGCGGUGAUGAGUUGCAUGAGUCGUUGAGUGGGUUAUUAAUUACCAUUGUUGAUGAUAUUUGAAAAUGAUGAUAAUUAUAUAUUGUUGAUGAAUUCUAUGUUAGGGUGUUAGAUUCAAUUGAUGCAUUCUUUAUCUAUAUUAUUGUUGUGAAUCUCACCCAUUCUGCUUGAAAAUUUUGCCCUUUCUAUGGGUAACUUGCAGGUGAUCCUGAGUAGUUGGUGGUGGCUCAAAGUGUCUAGGGCUCUGAUACGUGGGAUGAGAUUUUAUUUGUUUAAUUUCUUUCCUAUGUAUCAAAUUUUGAAUAUUGUUGUUGUAGCCCUAUUGAUGAUUGGUUUUGCUUGUUGAGGCUUCUAUGCCAUGAAUAUGUAUUGGAGAUGGUUGUUAAUUAAAGUUGAAUUAUUCUACUGCAAGUUUAAUGAUGAAUUUUGAUGGAUGUUUAAUUAAAUAGAUUUUAUAUAUUCUAUUUAAGAAAUUUGAAAUUGUAGUGUGACAUGCCCGUUUGGGUUUUACUCUGAUGUUGAAAAAUUAUUAUUUAAUUGAUUUUGGGAAACUGGGUGUUACACUCACCCCUUCUGCUUGGAAAUGUUGCUCUUCGUAUGAGUAACUUGCAGGUGAUCGAGCUUAGUGUGCAGAUUGCUGUCGUGAGUGGCCUUGCCUCACUCUGUCGUCUAGGUCGCUCUGAUACGUAACGGGAUGGGGUUUAUGUUAUCCAUGCUUCAUUGCCUUACAUGAUUAUUUAUGAUGUUGAUUAACUUAAUUGAGAUAUUUUGAUGGGGCCUACGUGCCAAAAUGAUUUAUUGAUUUUGAAUUUAUUUCCGCUGCUAUUUGGUUGAUGAAGGAUAAAUUGUUAUUUAUCUAUGUUUUGAAGAUUUUAAGAAUGUGAUAUCCCGUUAUUUGAUGAUUACUCUGAUUAUAUGUUUGAAAUUUUUAUAUUGGGAAAACGAGGUGUUACAGUUAACAUUCUCCUUUUUUUAAUAUGCAAAUAUAUUAACAAACAAAAUAAACUAGUAGUCAUAGGCUCGUUAGCACAUCAACAUAAAUAUAAAUAAUAUUGACGAUUAAGAGAGUGAUGAUUAGUCAAUUACAUACACAAUAUAUCCCAAAAAGAGGACCACCAGUGCUAUACUAUAUCCGUUAGUGCUAUACUUUAUCGAUCCAAAAAAGAAGCAUUAUAUCUAAAAAAGAACACAUCGGUACUCAAGAGUUAAGUUAUUUUAGUCAAUGAAAAAUAUUGGGGCAAGUAUUGGUGCAAGAUAAUUAUUGGAUACUCUCCUGAUACGUAUCGAGAAGUAUCGAAUAAUUAUAUUUUAAAAAAUAAAAAUUUAAUAUUCGAAUACUCUCCUGAUACGUAUCGAAAAGUAUCGGGCAUGUAUUGGUGUAGGAUAUGCAGAGGAUACGAUACGUCAUCCAUUUUGAAGUAUCGGGGUUUCACAACUCUUAAUCAAUAAUUUGAUCUAAAAUUGAUAAUUUUACAUUUUAAUUUAGAAAUUUAAGUGCUACAAUAUUAAUUAAAGAAGUUAAAAAAAUAAAAUUAAUACAUUGAAUUUAAAUUUAAAAUCAAUUUUAAAAUCAUACAAAAUUGAUUAUUCCUGAUUUUCAUGUAUUAAAUAUAAUUUUUGGUGUCAUCCGUAUUGAUCAUCAAGAACGCCACCAACUAUAUAGCAAGUAACACAAUAUAUUCUCCGUCAUUUUUCAUGUAUUAAAUCUUACUCUUAAAAUCAUGAGUUUCAUGUGAGAAUGAGUAUUAAAUAUGACUCAUGUGUUCAACUUAUUCUUUUGUAUUUUUCUUGAUUUCUUUUUUUAUUUUUUGCACACAAUCGUAAAAUUUAAAGACAAUUAUAUGAACGUACAAGUACAAC
rnacentral:lncRNA from 1 species